CAUGUGGGGAAGGAUGAGAAGCUUCGACUAAGGUUCGAUUCGAGCGAAAGCGAGAAAGCGUUGCCGCAGGCAACGACCCGAAGGGCGAAGCGCGCAGCGCUGAGUAAUCCUUCCCCUACCACCA
rnacentral:sRNA from 1 species